UUCAGUUUAUUUUUUUAGAGCUUUCCACUCACAAGGCCUUUAAAUCUCACAAAUUACUCACAAGACUUUGGCUGGGGAGGCUCAUAAUCUCCAACUGAAGUCAUUUUUCAUCAAUAAGAAAGGCAAGGAUGCCCUUCUUGCAUCUAAGGUGCCUUCAGUAGAUGGACAAAAACACAAUCUACAUACUUCAAAAAACUGAAAGAUACAAUCAUGUGACACAGGUGUCUAUACCAGCAAAGCGAUUUAAAAUAACUGAGGGAACAUUGAGAGGGUGGAGUUAGUAAAGAAAAUCCAGCAAGGAGUGAGUGUUGAGUUUUCACAUGGUGUGGAAUUUAGCUUAAUGGGUGUGGAAUUUAGCUUAAUGGGAAACUCAGUGUGUCACCGGAAAUCUCCUCAGAGAUCUAAACUUUCUGCCCAGAGUUGAAGGCCAAGGGUAGAGAAGACCCCUGAGCUUGCAUGGAUCCUGGCAGUUUGCCUUGGGAGGGGUGGAAAGAAGUUGCUGUGAUAUAAUAUAAAGGGUCAUAGACACAAGGCAGA
rnacentral:lncRNA from 1 species